AGACUACUUGUUGUAUUGUAAAUUAUGUUUUGAAUUGAAUGGCUUAUGAUAAUGUGGGCAUGAAUGGUUGGAUGGGUAUUUGUGUUGAAAAUGUAUAAACUGUUAUUUGCCUUGAUAGGCUGGAUAAUGAUAAAAUUGCCAUGUCAUGCUGUUGAAUUUUUAUUGAAUUAGUCAGUUAUAGAUUGGUCACUGCAGUGGCGGGUUUUAUGGGCCAACCUAUUAGAGGGGUACAGAAUCUGGUUAUAUUCUUACCUCGGUUAGAGAAACGCAUAAGGUAUCUCUUGAGGUAAAGUUUAGAGUUCACUUCAUACCAAACCACCACGUGAGAGUGAAUUCAGCCAACGCCAAGGAACUACUGUGCUUUUAAACGUAAAAAUGUGUUUUGUGCGUAUAUGACUUUUUAAACAGCCUUGUCUGUCUCGAUUGGAUGCCUCUGAUCAAGGUAUCCCCAAGAAUGAGUUUUGGCACGAGCCAAGUUUUU
rnacentral:lncRNA from 1 species